GUUUGAUUAUCAGCCAACUCUUCAAUUAGCUCUAAAGAACCAGUGAUCUUUUCACCAGUAUCAUUUAUUUAAGCUGAAAGAAAAGGCUUUUUUAAGCUUGCUGAAGAUAAAUGUAAGAGUUUUAUCAUCACAAUUCCACAAUUUCAAAUCAAUUUGAUCCUUUCAAGAAUCGUUCUUGAUGCAUGCACCCUUUCAGCCUCUACAUGAUCAAUUGUCUACAGAAAAGUCGAUGCAAAGCCUUAGAAAUAGUUUAGUGGUUCCUUUUUUUGGCG